AACGAACGCUGGCGGCAGGCCUAACACAUGCAAGUCGAGCGCGCCCUUCGGGGUGAACGGCGGACGGGUGAGUAACGCGUGGGAACGUGCCCUUUGCUACGGAAUAGUCCUGGGAAACUGGGGGUAAUACCGUAUACGCCCUAUUGGGGAAAGAUUUAUCGGCGAAGGAUCGGCCCGCGUUGGAUUAGGUAGUUGGUGGGGUAAUGGCUCACCAAGCCGACGAUCCAUAGCUGGUUUGAGAGGAUGAUCAGCCACACUGGGACUGAGACACGGCCCAGACUCCUACGGGAGGCAGCAGUGGGGAAUCUUAGACAAUGGGGGCAACCCUGAUCUAGCCAUGCCGCGUGAGUGAUGAAGGCCCUAGGGUUGUAAAGCUCUUUCAACUGGGAAGAUAAUGACGGUACCAGCAGAAGAAGCCCCGGCUAACUCCGUGCCAGCAGCCGCGGUAAU
rnacentral:rRNA from 1 species